GACAUUCGUGAUGUGUCUUAAGAGACUGAGUACUUUGGCCUUAAAUUUUUUAUAUUUCAUGUGUUUUAACGGCAAGAAUAUAAAUAACAUUGGGCAGAGACAAUAUAAUAGUGAGCACACAUAGUAUAAUUUUUUUAAUCUCCCACAGUAUUUCCAAAGCACUGUGUAUGUUGUCCAUGCUCAUAAUUCUCAGUAAAUAUUAUAUAAAUUAACAUGAAGAUAUGUCAGUAGCCAGAAUACCCUUGAUUUUGGAUCAGUAAUACCAGUACAUCAGACAUAGAUUUCUUUGCUACUGAGGAAUAAAAAGAGUUUGGAAUGUACAGGAAGUGAGUUUAAUAUAGCUACGCCUUGCUUCAAUACAAUAGAUAACACCAUUAGAAAAGGUAGAGACAAAGUGAAACAGAUUGAGAUUCAAUACAAUUGUGAGAAUUGCUGUUUCUAUUGUAUUACUUUAUUACAUCAGAGCGGUCACUUUAUGUUUUCUUAAGGUUCUCUAUAGAUAGUGUAACUAUUUACAUAAUAGCCCUGUAUCUAAAAAACGUGUGCAAAAAUCAAGCCUGUCUAAAAACACAGAAGGGGAAAACUAUUUCAUUUAGGAAAACCAGUAUUUGAGUCCUUCGUAAAACAAAUUUCUUGUGAAGCAAAAAAAUAUCUUUACUUAUAAAUAUGAAUUUCGAAGCAUCAAGCUGUACUAAAACCCUUCUAUAUUACAAAAUAAAGCAGUUCUGUGGGAUGCAUCACAAAUAGCCAACUUCGUGAUAAAUAUGACCCUAAUUCUUUUUACUGGACUUUUCCAUAGGAAUGAAUUCUUUUGCACUGGGUUAGCCGCAUUUUUUCUCUUAAGAAGCUUAAUAAAGUUUGACCUAUUACAUCAGCUUUUCUUCCAAAUGUGAGAAGAAUUUAUGUAGAGAAUUCACCACACCCUAUGUAACAGUGUCUGAGAACCAUUAGCUAUAAACAGUGGGGUUGGCAAAGAAAUUGUGGACUUUUUUAAAGGGGAGGAGGAAUUAGAGUUUUUUAGGGAACAUCUGACCAUGCUAGCAAAAAUGCCAUCCUUGGCUCCAACUUAGAUUAUUUACUUAGCUUUGUUCUCCCAUAGAUAAACUAAAGUACACUUUCUUUUUCUUUUUCUUUUUAAAAUUUGUUUAUUUUGAGAGAGACGGAGAGCACAAGAUGGGGAGAGGCAGAGAGAGAGGGAGAAUCCCAAGCACGUUCCACACCUGAACCGUCAGUGCACAGAGCGUGACUUCGGGGGUCAAACUCAAGGAACCAUGAGAUCGCAACCUGAGCCGAAAUCAAGAGUCAGAUGCUUUACUGACUGAGCCAUCCAGGCUCCCCAGGGUCACAGUCUCCCCAUGUUCCAAGGUGAAACUGUAUUAAAGGAAUAUGCCAGAAGAGAUCUCCAGGAUUCUCUCUCCCAACCCAGGGUGAGGAACCAAGCAUCCGACCAUACAAUGAGAAGAACAGAGUGUUACUUCUGUGACAGUCCUGUCAAAGACAUUUACCCUGAUUUUAAUCAUAAAUAAACAUCAGACGGAUGAAAAGUGAAA